rnacentral:tRNA from 1 species
GAAGGGUUAACUAAACAACACAAUAAGCAAAUAGCCUUCUAAGCUACUAAUAAAGACACACCUCUUUACCCCUCG